rnacentral:rRNA from 1 species
UUACCUCAGUAACGGCGAGUGAAGCGGUAACAGCUCAAAUUUGAAAUCUGGCAGCAAUGUCCGAGUUGUAAUUUGUAGAGGAUGUUUCGAGCAUGGUCUGGCCUAAGUUCCUUGGAACAGGACGUCAUAGAGGGUGAGAAUCCCGUAUGCGGUCAGGUGCCUACGCUCAUGUGAAACUCCUUCGACGAGUCGAGUUGUUUGGGAAUGCAGCUCAAAAUGGGUGGUAAAUUUCAUCUAAAGCUAAAUAUUGGCCAGAGACCGAUAGCGCACAAGUAGAGUGAUCGAAAGAUGAAAAGCACUUUGGAAAGAGAGUUAAACAGUACGUGAAAUUGUUGAAAGGGAAGCGCUUGCAACCAGACUUGCACGCAGUUAAUCAUCCGCUGUUCUCAGUGGUGCACUUGAUUGCGUUCAGGCCAGCAUCGGUUUUGGUGGUGGGAUAAAGGCCUUAGGAAUGUAGCUGCUUUCGGGCAGUGUUAUAGCCUAGGGUGCAAUGCCGCCUACUGGGACCGAGGACCGCGCUUCGGCUAGGAUGCUGGCGUAAUGGUUGUAAGCGACCCGUCUUGAAACACGGACCAAGGAGUCUAACAUCUAUGCGAGUGUUUGGGUGUCAAACCCAUACGCGUAAUGAAAGUGAACGGAGGUCAGAACCCUUAAGGGUGCAUGAUCGACCGGUCCUGAAGUCUUCGGAUGGAUCUGAGUAAGAGCAUAGCUGUUGGGACCCGAAAGAUGGUGAACUAUGCCUGAAUAGGGUGAAGCCAGAGGAAACUCUGGUGGAGGCUCGCAGCGGUUCUGACGUGCAAAUCGAUCGUCAAAUUUGGGUAUAGGGGCGAAAGACUAAUCGAACCAUCUAGUAGCUGGUUCCUGCCGA